AGCACCGAAGCCUGAGGUCGUUUGGCCUCUAGGCAAUGUGGUGUUCAGGUCAGCUCGCGGAGGUACUGCUCCACCCUAAGUCCUAUAAUGAGUAAGGUUACUCGGACGUGGCCCACAGAGGGUGAAAGGCCCGUGGGGGUGGAGACUCAGAUUGGCCAGUAUCUCCCUGAGUGGACCUUGGAGUCGGGUUGUUUGUGAAUGCAGCCCAAAGUGGGUGGUAAACUCCAUCCAAGGCUAAAUACUAACACGAGUCCGAUAGCGAACAAGUACCGUGAGGGAAAGUUGAAAAGUACUUUGAAGAGAGAGUAAACAGUGCGUGAAACCGCUCAGAGGUAAACGGGUGGAGUUGAACUGCAAGCUCUGAGAAUUCAACUGGUGAGUAUGGCAUGAGCUGGGUAUAUUGGUUGACGGUUCGGGUCUGCUCAGCUGCAGGUCCUCGCCUUUUGGUGGGGAUGCGCGAAUCACUUGCCAAGUGUUGUGCGCCCGGACUGUAUCGGACCUGCUUGCCAGUGCACUUUCUCAGAGUAAUCACCACGACCGGCGUUGCCGUCUGGCUGUUGUAGUUAAACCGGCCUCGUAGAGUCCUUGUGGCUUUGCUUGGCUCGGGAUGGCAGGUAGCCCGUUGUGCACUUUUGUGUGCUUCGAGUGUAAUCGCUGACUGCAUCAGUUCUGUGCGGUACGUCGGAGACGGCGGCUUGUUGUGUGUGCGUGCGUACUUGUUAUGCUGGCGGGGCCGAGUCUGGUUGCCGUGUUGCUUGCAAAUGCAAGCCCGGUGAUGGCUUGGUGUCGUUCGGUGUGCGGUUGCGUGCGUGGCACUCUGCAGGGCCAAUAGUCUGUGGUGUAGUGGUAGACUAUCCACCUGACCCGUCUUGAAACACGGACCAAGGAGAGUAACAUGUACGCGAGUCAUUGGGCGUUACGAAACCCAAAGGCGCAGUGAAAGUAAAGGUUCGGCUUGUCCGGACUGAGGUGAGAUCCUGCCGUUUCUCACGCGCGGUACUACCAAGCAUCGAGCGGCAGGCGCAUCACCGGCCCGUCCCAUGGCGUAGAGGCGGCCUUGUG
rnacentral:rRNA from 1 species